UUGCCUCAUAUAAGGUAAAAGAAAAAGUUUUUGCUUCCCAAGUGAUGCAUCCUUCAAAAGAGAGGUUUUCUUGGGGGAAACUCCCUCCGCAGAGACAGUAGGGUCCAUUUGAAGUAAACAGCUGCUCUUUCACAUCUCUCCAGCUAAUGUCACACAUGUCCAGGCUGUAGCACCUUUCUGCCUAGGCUUUGUGUCGAAGACAGAGCUUUUAUAAAUUCCCUUCUCCGCCGCGGAACAAUCAAAGUCCAGUUUCAGAAAGCAAGAGAGAGAUUGAGGAGGACUAGAUGAUCAACAAUGUCAACUGUCAACUGUGCAAAGCAAAACUUGUUUCUCUCAAAAGAUAAAAAGGUAUGGCAAAUGUUUUCUUGUGGACCAAGUCAAGAUGAUGGAAUAAUAUGCUGCAACUUGUUCCCAUGGUAUUCCAUAUACCAACGUGGUGCUUCCUGUUACUGCUGGUGAAGGAGCCUCGCUGUUUCAACACAAUGCAUGCCAAGUGCUGGGAAAGUGAAGACCCUACAUAUGGUGUCCGCCCCCCCAACCCCCCAUGGUCCAGUGAAAUACAACUCACAAGUUUACUUUGGUUGUGCAUGUGGAGCUGAUAAGUAUUUAACUUUUAUUAUGUCACUGCUUUUUAACUGACAAAGCUCAGAGGCCCAUCACAGCUUUUAAUAUCCUACAAGUACACAAAAAAAACAAAACAAACCCAACAAAUUCAACGAGCACAGAGAAACUGUGCCCUACAAUGUGGGAAGGAGGAAGAAUGAGAAAUCAAACAUAUCGCAUGUAUUCAGCCUGGGUUUACUGUGCACAUUCUCAAGGAUGAGAGUCAAGUCCUCAGGCCCAAGGUGCAGUGCUGCAUCUCUGGUCAAUUGGGAGUCUGAGAUGAAGCACUGUAGCACGGGAAGAGGGACACUGCUACUGUAAACACACAUCGGCAUUUGUUAUGAACGUUUUAUUAGCCAGAUUUUAAUAAUAAAAUGUAGGUUAAAUACCUGAGCUACGAAUCAGUUGGUUGCGAUUUCAAAUCCCAGCACUGCUGAAUGAAAAUGAGUCAUUUACUGAGUCCGAGUCAUUUACACUGAGUCAUUUACUGAGUCCGAGUCAUUUACACUGCCCAUAACUUUAAUCUGUUUGGUUCAGUUAUUCGCUUGGAUAAAUGUGAAAUGUUUUAUAGAUAGUAUUUACCUGUUUUGUGGUAUCCUUUUGUCUGAUACAGAGCCUUUCUUCCCUGUCCCCGGGGUCCAGUUUUCCCAGGAAUCCCUUGGGAAUUUACAAAGGGGAUUCCUGGAAAUACUGUUCUUGGGGGUGGGGUUAGACAUCAUGAAUGUUAGUUUAAUUGAAUCAUGUGGCUAUUAUGGGAUAAACAAUCAAUUUACAUGCUACUGUAGCAAAGUUCUCUGUAUUUUUGUUUUAAAUAUCUUGCGAUCAAAACACUAACAGAAUGUAACACUCUUAAUAAAAUUGUGAGACAA